rnacentral:rRNA from 1 species
GGUGACAAACCGGAGGAAGGUGGGGACGACGUCAAAUCAUCAUGCCCCAUAUGAUUUGGGCUACACACGUGCUACAAUGGACAGGUUACAAAGGGCAGCAACGCCGCGAGGCCAAGCGAAUCCCAUAAAACUGUUCUCAGUUCGGAUUGGAGUCUGCAACUCGACUCCAUGAAGCUGGAAUCGCUAGUAAUCGUAGAUCAGCAUGCUACGGUGAAUACGUUCCC